AGUGAACGCUGGCGGUAGGCCUAACACAUGCAAGUCGAACGGCAGCACAGGAGAGCUGCUCUCUGGGUGGCGAGUGGCGGACGGGUGAGGAAUACAUCGGAAUCUACUCUGUCGUGGGGGAUAACGUAGGGAAACUUACGCUAAUACCGCAUACGACCUACGGGUGAAAGCAGGGGACCUUCGGGCCUUGCGCGAUCAAAUGAGCCGAUGUCGGAUUAGCUAGUUGGCGGGGUAAAGGCCCACCAAGGCGACGAUCCGUAGCUGGUCUGAGAGGAUGAUCAGCCACACUGGAACUGAGACACGGUCCAGACUCCUACGGGAGGCAGCAGUGGGGAAUAUUGGACAAUGGGCGCAAGCCUGAUCCAGCCAUACCGCGUGGGUGAAGAAGGCCUUCGGGUUGUAAAGCCCUUUUGUUGGGAAAGAAAUCCAGCUGGCUAAUACCCGGUUGGGAUGACGGUACCCAAAGAAUAAGCACCGGCUAACUUCGUGCCAGCCGCCGCGGUAA
rnacentral:rRNA from 1 species